rnacentral:rRNA from 1 species
AAUAGAUACCCAGGUAGUCCACGCCGUAAACGAUGGAUACUAGCUGUUGGGCGCAAGUUCAGUGGCUAAGCGAAAGUGAUAAGUAUCCCACCUGGGGAGUACGUUCGCAAGAAUGAAACUCAAAGGAAUUGACGGGGGCCCGCACAAGCGGUGGAGCAUGUGGUUUAAUUCGAUGAUACGCGAGGAACCUUACCAAGGCUUAAAUGUAGAUUGACCGGUUUGGAAACAGAUCUUUCGCAAGACAAUUUACAAGGUGCUGCAUGGUUGUCGUCAGCUCGUGCCGUGAGGUGUCAGGUUAAGUCCUAUAACGAGCGCAACCCCUGUUGUUAGUUGCCAGCGAGUCAAGUCGGGAACUCUAACAAGACUGCCAGUGCAAACUGUGAGGAAGGUGGGGAUGACGUCAAAUCAUCACGGCCCUUACGCCUUGGGCUACACACGUGCUACAAUGGCCGGUACAGAGAGCAGCCACUGGGUGACCAGGAGCGAAUCUAUAAAACCGGUCACAGUUCGGAUCGGAGUCUGCAACUCGAC